AGGCGAGGCCGAAAGGCGUAGUCGAUGGGAAACGGGUUAAUAUUCCCGUACUUCUUACAAUUGCGAUGGGGGGACGGAGAAGGCUAGGUGGGCCUGGCGACGGUUGUCCAGGUUCAAGUGCGUAGGCUGAGUGUUUAGGUAAAUCCGGACACUCUUAAGGCUGAGACACGACGUCGAGCUACUACGGUAGUGAAGUCAUUGAUGCCAUGCUUCCAGGAAAAGCCUCUAAGCUUCAGAUUGUAAGGAAUCGUACCCCAAACCGACACAGGUGGUCGGGUAGAGAAUACCAAGGCGCUUGAGAGAACUCGGGUGAAGGAACUAGGCAAAAUGGUACCGUAACUUCGGGAGAAGGUACGCUCUUGAUGGUGAAGUCCCUUGCGGAUGGAGCUGACGAGAGUCGCAGAUACCAGGUGGCUGCAACUGUUUAUUAAAAACACAGCACUGUGCAAAAUCGUAAGAUGACGUAUACGGUGUGACGCCUGCCCGGUGCCGGAAGGUUAAUUGAUGGGGUUAGCGUAAGCGAAGCUCUUGAUCGAAGCCCCGGUAAACGGCGGCCGUAACUAUAACGGUCCUAAGGUAGCGAAAUUCCUUGUCGGGUAAGUUCCGACCUGCACGAAUGGCGUAAUGAUGGCCACGCUGUCUCCACCCGAGACUCAGUGAAAUUGAAAUCGCUGUGAAGAUGCAGUGUACCCGCGGCUAGACGGAAAGACCCCGUGAACCUUUACUACAGCUUGGCACUGAACAUUGAACCUACAUGUGUAGGAUAGGUGGGAGGCUUUGAAGACGUGACGCCAGUUACGUUGGAGCCGUCCUUGAAAUACCACCCUUGUAUGUUUGAUGUUCUAACGUUGGCCCCUAAUCGGGGUUGCGGACAGUGCCUGGUGGGUAGUUUGACUGGGGCGGUCUCCUCCCAAAGAGUAACGGAGGAGCACGAAGGUGGGCUAAUCACGGUUGGACAUCGUGAGGUUAGUGCAAUGGCAUAAGCCCGCUUAACUGCGAGAAUGACGGUUCGAGCAGGUGCGAAAGCAGGUCAUAGUGAUCCGGUGGUUCUGAAUGGAAGGGCCAUCGCUCAACGGAUAAAAGGUACUCCGGGGAUAACAGGCUGAUACCGCCCAAGAGUUCAUAUCGACGGCGGUGUUUGGCACCUCGAUGUCGGCUCAUCACAUCCUGGGGCUGAAGUCGGUCCCAAGGGUAUGGCUGUUCGCCAUUUAAAGUGGUACGCGAGCUGGGUUUAGAACGUCGUGAGACAGUUCGGUCCCUAUCUGCCGUGGGCGUUGGAAGAUUGAAGGGGGCUGCUCCUAGUACGAGAGGACCGGAGUGGACGAACCUCUGGUGUUCGGGUUGUGUCGCCAGACGCAUUGCCCGGUAGCUAAGUUCGGAAUCGAUAACCGCUGAAAGCAUCUAAGCGGGAAGCGAGCCCUGAGAUGAGUCUU
rnacentral:rRNA from 1 species